rnacentral:rRNA from 1 species
CGAGAUUCCCAAAGUAGCGGCGAGCGAAAUGGGAAGAGCCUGUACGUGAUAGUCGGACCGAUAACAGAAUCCUCUGGAAAUAGGAGCCAUAGCGGGUGAUAGCCCCGUAUGUGAAAUCGGACCGGUGAUACUAAGCGUACGACAAGUAGGGCGGGACACGUGACAUCCUGUCUGAAUAUGGGGGGACCAUCCUCCAAGGCUAAAUACUCGUAAUCGACCGAUAGUGAACCAGUACCGUGAGGGAAAGGCGAAAAGAACCCCGGAAGGGGAGUGAAAUAGAUCCUGAAACCGUGUGCAUACAAACAGUAGGAGCGGACUUGUUCCGUGACUGCGUACCUUUUGUAUAAUGGGUCAGCGACUUACAUUCAGUGGCAAGGUUAACCGAAUAGGGAAGCCGUAGAGAAAUCGAGUCCGAAUAGGGCGAUCAGUCGCUGGGUGUAGACCCGAAACCAAGUGAUCUACUCAUGGCCAGGAUGAAGGUGCGGUAACACGCCCUGGAGGUCCGAACCCAC